CUGUUUGAGGAUAUAGGCAGAUAAUGAAGCUGAGGACCAAGCAGGAGCCUAAAGAGAUGUCUUUCUAUGGUCUGUUGGCCAUUUCAGAACUUGGGCAGUGAAAUGGUCAAUUCAUUAGAAAGAAACAGCU
ensembl:snoRNA